UACGGGGGGGGCAAGCGUUGUCCGGAUUUAUUGGGUUUAAAGGGUGCGUAGGCGGCGCGGUAAGUCGGGUGUGAAAUCUCGGAGCUUAACUCCGAAACUGCAUUCGAUACUGCCGUGCUUGAGGACUGGAGAGGAGACUGGAAUUUACGGUGUAGCGGUGAAAUGCGUAGAUAUCGUAAGGAAGACCAGUGGCGAAGGCGGGUCUCUGGACAGUUCCUGACGCUGAGGCACGAAGGCCAGGGGAGCAAACGGG
rnacentral:rRNA from 1 species